rnacentral:rRNA from 1 species
AAUAGAUACCCCGGUAGUCCACGCCGUAAAACGAUGGAUACUAGCUGUUUGGGCGUAAGCUUGAGUGGCUAAGCGAAAGUGAUAAGUAUCCCACCUGGGGAGUACGGGCGCAAGCCUGAAACUCAAAGGAAUUGACGGGGGCCCGCACAAGCGGUGGAGCAUGUGGUUUAAUUCGAUGAUACGCGAGGAACCUUACCAGGGCUUAAAUGUGUUUUGACCGCUUAGGAAACUAGGCUUUCGCAAGACAAAAUACAAGGUGCUGCAUGGUUGUCGUCAGCUCGUGCCGUGAGGUGUCAGGUUAAGUCCUAUAACGAGCGCAACCCCUGUUGUUAGUUGCCAGCGAGUCGUGUCGGGAACUCUAACAAGACUGCCAGUGUAAACUGUGAGGAAGGUGGGGAUGACGUCAAAUCAUCACGGCCCUUACGUCCUGGGCCACACACGUGCUACAAUGGACGGUACAGAGAGCAGCUACCUAGUGAUAGGAUGCGAAUCUAUAAAACCGUUCUCAGUUCGGAUCGGAGUCUGCAACUCGACUCCGGU